UACAGAGGGUGCUAGCGUUGUUCGGAAUCAUUGGGCGUAAAGGGCGUGUAGGCGGUUUGCUAAGUCAUGUGUGAAAUCCCUCGGCUCAACCGGGGAACGACGCAUGAAACUGGCAAGCUAGAGUACCAAAGAGGGGGGUGGAAUUCCCGGUGUAGCGGUGAAAUGCGUAGAGAUCGGGAGGAACACCAGUGGCGAAGGCGGCUACCUGGACCAGCACUGACACUGAGGCACGAAAGCGUGGGGAGCAAACAGG
rnacentral:rRNA from 1 species